AAGGCGAGUCCCGGCGCGGGGCUGGCGGUCGGCCCCGGCCCGCGGGGUGACGCGGGGGGCUCCGCCGCCACCGGCCCCAGCCUGGGUCGCACGGCCCCGGACGGGGGAGGCGGAGGGGGCUUGGGCCGCACUCAGGCUCCGACGCCGGGGCGGGGCUGCGGCCGGGGGCGGCCGGGCCGGGGGCCGAGCGGGGGCUCUGCGGGGCGCGGGGGCCGCGGGUGAGCCCCCGGUUCGUGGAGCCCGCCGUGCGGCUCUCUCUCCCCGGGGUUCGUCAGAAAACGAGAGCUUCCAGCCCCCGGCGGCGAGACGCAGGCAGGCCGCGGGCGGGGCGGGAGUCCAGGGGCGGGGGUCACGCGGCGGGACGGAGGGUCUCGAGGCCGGCGGUCUGGGGAAAGGCUCCUGCGUUGCUGAACCCGCGCGGCAGUGGGUGCAGCCUUGUAGCAGGCAGCCCGAGCCUGACCUAGAGAAAACUCCCGGGAGCGGUGUCCCCCGGGUGUGGCUUUGCAGUAACAGGUGUGAGCACUCUAGCAGCAGCUUGGUGGUCAUGUAUGAUACUGCAGACAGACGCACGCCGGGAGCCUGAGCGCUGGUCCCGCGGCGCGCGGUGGAGCCCCCGGCCCCGCGCCAAUCCCGGGGUUCGCGCGCGCAGAGACGGCCGGGACAGCCCAGGCCACCGUGCUCGGGGAGCUUCGGCCCCGCUGGGGAGAUGAGAUCAGAGGAUGGCCCUGCAGAGGGCGUAAUUCAGGCUGAGGCCAAGACCCCGAAGGAAAGGGCAGUCCGGUUAGCAGCUGCAUCACGAGGAGCAGAUGGCGGCCUUCCCGAGCUGGACUCUGAAGGACGAGCCGGAGUUCUCUGGAAGGCCGGGGCGCCGCACGGGCCAAGGCCCAGCGAGCUAGCAAACGUGGCCAGUGUUGGAACCGGAGGAGGGCCAUUGUAACCCCAACAGCAAGGGGAAUGGUGUGGGGUGAAGCCGAAAACUGGGGAGGGGCUGGACCCCGCAGGGCCUGUGGCUCACUGGAGCAUUUUAUUUAUUUAUUUUUAUUUUUAUUAUUUUUUUUAAAGAUUUUAUUUAUUUAUUUGACAGAAAUCACAAGCAGGCAGAGAGGCAGGCAGAGAGAGGGAGAGGAGGAAGCAGGCUCCCUGCCGAGCAGAGAGCCCGAUGCGGGACUCGAUCCCAGGACCCUGAGAUCAUGACCUGAGCUGAAGGCAGCGGCUUAAUCCACCGAGCCAUCCAGGCGCCCCUCACAGGAGCAUUUUAGUCUUUCCUAGUUACACGAGGGCCAUUCUGGGUCAUAAACGUUUCUGAUUUUCAAGAGGAUGAGGCACUAACGUCUGGAAUCUCACGAGAACGCUAGGUGAGUUCGCGGGAAGAUCUGUGUGCGGGGUGAAUGGUUUCUUUCCGGCCUGCUUCCAUGUACCUGAAGUGUAAUUGUUGGGGGCUUGAACUUUCCAGCUUUCUUGGGUUUCAUUUAACUCAGCCAUGUAGCUUCUGCAUGCCGACCUGCUGAAGACCCUGUUUUGUAUGGAUACAAAUAAAAGGGGUCCGUCCCCAAGGAGACUUUCUCGUGCACUCUAUGGUCUUUGCCCCCACCGACCUUGCCCGCAGUGUGUCACCUCUGCUGCUGAGAUGCAGUCGGCAGCACGGUUCCCAGCUGAGGAGACUGAGCUGUUCGCGCUUCUCUGUAGGAAGUGUGGGCGCUGGGGGCACUGCUCAUCCUGGAGGAGCUUGGGCUGUCUAGAAGGGGGGGCACGUGGAGGGAGGUGACCUCUGUCUCCGUGGUCUAGGAGGAAGGGGUGGCCAGCGUAGUUUAGGGUCGUGUUCACCUUGUGCAGACUUCACUUUGGAUAGAGGUUUCCAGAAAGUGGCUGCUGGCCUCAGAACUGGUUGCCGGUAGCUGCUGGGCGCUGCCCACCUCUGCUUCCUCAGCUGGGUCUCGAGCCCCAUGCGGGCUCCGUCUUCCCCGGAGGAUUCUCCCGGCCUUCCUCUCUGAAUGCUCACCACGUAUCGGCCUUCCUCUCUGAAUGCUCACCACGCAUCGAUGUGAGGAAAGGAAAAGCCUUUCCUCUAUUUCCUGCUGUCUUUACGGGACAGGGUAUGACCUGCACGGGUUUUAUGUAGUCUGGGAAGGUUAUCCUGACCUUCAGGCCUAGUGCCACACCCAGAGUUCCUGCCUGUCGACCUCGCUGGUGUCUGUUCUUGCCGCACUUAGUGAAUAAUCUUGCCUCAGCAUCCCCUGGCCCAACCCUCUUCUGGUCCGGCUCAACUCCAGGAGGGGAGGGGCUGCCCCACGAGUGCCUGCAGAGCCAAGACGGUAACAUCAGACCUUGCCAGGGAAGCCGUUGGUGGUCUUUGUCACAGACCCCUAGUCUGAGAGCCCCCCCCCCCCGGGGGGACAGCAGCUGGCCUGUCAGCCCUGAGGGGCAGAAGUACCUGCUGGGCGUAAAGGGGCCUUUCCCAUCCUGGCUCCGCCCCCGGCCCACUGUGUCCCCUUAGGCCGGUCGCUUCCCUGUUUCUUAGUAAAAUGGGGACCACGGGACGGUGACUCCCAAAGGUGGGCACCUGUGAGCACGGCAGACUGACAGACUGGCUGUUGCCCACUCUCGGAUUUUCAGGGCGUUUCAUGGUGUUUCCGGCCGCGAGCUUCCAGAGCGCUGGUAUGCAGUGGGUCCCAGCAGCCAAGAUGCCGUCUGUCGCAGAAGGGUCCCUGGGAGCUAGGGCGGGUUUGCUACAGCCUCUUGGCUUUUUCACCCGGUCCGUGUUCACGAUUGGGCCACUCACGAGAGCACAUAAUUCCAGGGCGGGCCCUGCCCUCCUCUGCAUGCUGGACCUUAGAGGAAGCGUGAUAAUUGCCCGAAUUAACAUUGUGUUGGGAUACGUGAACUGGGGGAAAUCAUACGUAUUGGUAUUUCUGGAAAAAACAGGUUGGAUCCGGGUCACUGCCUUGUUCCUGGGUGUCUCUGGAAUGUGAGCGUCCACUCGGGCACAGUGGCCGUGGACGGGGCCUCGUGGCCUCAGUGUGUCGUGGAGCAGCGGCGGGGCUCUGUCUGUAGACUGACUCAGUGAGGUUCUUCAACCUUUGGUCCGAUAGAUGAAUCAGAAGCGUUCGCUGCCCGCCCCUCACACCCCCCGCAGGAACAUCGUGUUUCUAGCACGGAAAAUGAUGGCACGGGAGUGCUUCAUGUCGGUGGGGUCAGCUGUGGUGUACAGGGGCCUCUCGUUCUUGUUUGGUGUUGGCGACAACAGAGGAGGGUGCCCGCGUGUCCCCGGUGCGUCCAUGUGGCUCGGUCUGAGACCUCUAGGGCAGGAGAGCCUGGGAGAACAGGAGAAGGACGAAGAGAGCCGCUGAUUCCGAGGGAUGUGGGCUGAGAUCCUGCAGUCUUCCCCGCAGCCCCUCUUCUAUUCACCCCUCCGGAUGCUUCCCCAGUGUGGGUGCUUCACACUGAAUUUCUGCCCCUUUCCUCUGGGGCCGCACCCCAAGACGACAGCCUCCAUCCAUCCUGCACCUUGGUGCGGUGCGCGCGGCUCUGUCGGUGAUGGGAGGGAAGCCCGAAUCCACCGGAGGGGCUCGGGAUUGCGUUUGUCUGAGGCCCUACCUGAGAAUAUUCCCCAGCUGUCUCCUGCUCGGUCACUCGGUUCCAGCUGGCCUGGGCGCGGCGAUGGUGUACUUGCUUCCCCCACAGAACACGUAGCUAAAAUAGGCUGCCCAUAGGACACGGACAGGCUUCAGGGUUUCCGGGUUUUGUUCCUCUGGUUUAUGUAAGAGGGUUGAGGCCGGCAGGAGUCCAGUCUUUUCGAAGAACUGGGCCUUUUAAUAAUAGCAGUGGGUAAUGAAAUGCACAGUCCCUAAGAAGCAAUGUUUUUUGAUGUUAAAACAUGGAGCACAAAAGGCCUGUUGCAGCAAAGGGACUAAGAAAACAGUUACCCGCUGCACGGUCUUGAACUUCUCUCUUUGUCCACUAGAGGACGCAGUUCUGAUGCGCCACUGUGUUCGCUUUUGUAACUUGGUCCACUUUUAGUUUUUUAAUUUCGCCAAGCCCUUAUUUUACCAGAAAUUCAGAUUGAACCAGAAGUUCAAUCUGCAGGGUUGGGCUCCUUGUUAGGACUCUGCCAAGAGGUCCCCACUGCACACAGCUCCUGGGAAGCAUUCGUCAUGUCGCAGACGAGCCAAGCCCCCGCCCAGGCACGGGGCAUGCACUUGGGGAGAAGAGCACGAGAGCAUGUCCUAACGCAACCUUCCGUCCACACUCCCUCCGGGGGACCAGUUCUAGUCGGCGUGAGAGAUCUUUCUUGGGACCAUUUUCCCCUGCUGUCCGAGUAUUGGCCUUCGAAGUCUUUCCUGUUCUUGGGCUAACAGACUGGCCCAGUGCGGGGACCCGUGAUCGAUGCAGAGGGAGUGUGCAGCUGUGGGAGGCGCCCUCUCACCUCUGUUGAACCGUAACCAUGUUGUUCCUCAGGGAACUAACCUGGACUUGGGAAGAGACAUUUGGAUAGAAGUUCCUGGGACAGCCUGUUGCCUUUCCUCUUGUAGAUGAAGCCAGAGACCGCCCGGACGUCCUGUCUCACCCACUGUCUGUUCUCUGGCCUCUUCCACUUCUAGAAACCAUGUACUUCUUGUUUUUUGUAUUUUUUUUUUUUCCAACAAAGAGUAGAUCUGUGUCAUUUAAAUUACUACCAAGAAGACAACAAAGUAUACUCUCCUCUAACCUUCACAGGGCAGGGGUCUGUUUUGGUUUUACGUGGUUACACAUAAUGACUGUGUUUAAAAGCGAUUCUUCGUUCCAAUAUUUUUUUCAGAUCAAUUAUGCAACUGCAGCAGAAAACCAGUUCUUUUCUUGCAAGUGUAAUUAAAGAUGGAGCCAAGUGAGUCAGGGGAAGGUCACGUGUCUCAGGCUUGGCAGCUGUGCCAGCGUGUCCCGGUUAUGCAACACUGUUUUCGACCUGCGGCCCGUCAGCAAAACCUUCAGAUGAUCGUAUGGAAUUAAAAUAAGACUUUAACUUUC